GCGGGAAUAGCUCAGUUGGUAGAGCACGACCUUGCCAAGGUCGGGGACGCGAGUUCGAGUCUCGUUUCCCGCUCCA
rnacentral:tRNA from 1 species